rnacentral:rRNA from 1 species
GAUUAAGUUAUUAAGGGCGCACGGUGGAUGCCUUGGCACUAGAAGCCGAUGAAGGACGUUACUAACGACGAUAUGCUUUGGGGAGCUGUAAGUAAGCUUUGAUCCAGAGAUUUCCGAAUGGGGAAACCCAGCAUGAGUUAUGUCAUGUUAUCGAUAUGUGAAUACAUAGCAUAUCAGAAGGCACACCCGGAGAACUGAAACAUCUUAGUACCCGGAGGAAGAGAAAGAAAAUUCGAUUCCCUUAGUAGCGGCGAGCGA